CGCGAACGUUGGCGGCGUGCCUAACACAUGCAAGUCGUGGGGCAGCAGGCUACUACCUUCGGGUAGUAGUGCUGGCGACCGGCAAACGGGUGAGUAACACGUAGCUUACCUACCCAUAGGUUGGGGAUAACAUUCCGAAAGGGGUGCUAAUACCCAAUAAUGAGGAGACUCCAAAGCCCUUAUGGGUGCCUAUGGAUGGGGCUGCGUCCCAUCAGCUAGUUGGUGAGGUAAUGGCUCACCAAGGCUACGACGGGUAACCGGUCUGAGAGGAUGACCGGUCACAGUGGGACUGAGACACGGCCCGCACCCCUACGGGGGGCAGCAGUGGGGAAUAUUGGGCAAUGGCCGAAAGGCUGACCCAGCAACGCCGCGUGGUGGAUGAAGCCCUUCGGGGUGUAAACACCUUUUCUGGGGGAAGAUAAUGACGGUACCCCAGGAAUAAGGGACGGCUAACUACGUGCCAGCAGCCGCGGUAAUACGUAG
rnacentral:rRNA from 1 species